CAGAGAUCGCGCGCGUGCGCGCCACUCACCACACACACACACACACCUGGACUAUACCAGACCAGAGAGCGAGACCCGCUGCGCGCGCCGGCCUGGCCCAGGGGUGGGUGGGAAAGAGCGCGAGACCUGGGCGGGAAAACAACCUGCUGCUUUACUCACUCACACUCCCUCUGUCACCCCGCCCUCCCCUCAUGCCACCACUACAAACAACUUCACACCUUACUCAGCUUUAACCCGUGGGCUCCCCAGGGCUGGGCUCGCCGUUAAUUAUUCACAGGGGGGCAGGAGGAGGAGGAGGAUUUUGUGGGAGGCCCCAAAGCAGAGAGAGGGAGGGUGUGUUGAGGGAGUCUCUGUGGCUACCUGUAGGUAAAUAUCAGGGUGUGAAUUGGGAGAUCCGGCCUGUCCCCUGCCCUCCCCCUUUCUGUGAGUGUGAGGAGGGGGGCAGGUGUGUGCUUCCUGCUCUCUGCUCGCUAAUACAGGCGGCUGCACCCUGUACUGACCCACCCGAGGCCUGAGUCUGGUUCUGGUUCUGGGAGAGGGUCCAACACUGAGCCCCCAAUUCCCUGUGGCCUGCUCUGUAAUAACCCUGGGAGCUGGUGAAUGUAAAGCCCCUGAGGCCUAGACAGGGUGCCAGCCAGCAUUCUGCAACACAGGUGUGUUUAAAUCUCUAUUAAAAGCAUUACUCUAGAUACAUAUUGAUGCUGGUUUGUGUAGAAGUAUUGUUAAGCCAUUUUGGGUUUUUUUCACAAAAAGUAAAUAGGUUAUUUUGCUUUUUUUGGUGUGUUUUUGUUGCUGCCCCCCUCCCCUCCCCUCCUCUAGAAGUAUAUUGUUUAUACAGGAGUGAAGGAAUGAUAACUGGUGAUAUAUCUAUAGAUUAGGAACACACUUUUCACCGGGCAGCUCUAGAACACACUCCCCAAAAUAUUCAAUAAUAAAAAAAAAAAGCCAAAACCAAAUUCAUAUCACCCACCCCCCACCCCACCCCUCAAUGGUCUUGCCAAAGUGGAUAUUAUAUAUAAAUAAAUAAGAUGUCCACGCGAAUGCCACUACCAACCGUGAAUGAGCGUGACACAGAGCAGGUAAGUGUGUGGAUUUGUGCCUUUGCAGACCUUUCUACACAUUGAGCUUCAUCUUAAUCUGUCUGGACAUUUAUGUGAUUUAUAAGAGUGUGAGGGCUUGUCAUCAAUAAUUUACGCAAAUGCAUUUGUGAUAUUGUGCAUUAAAAUGCUGAGUGCAAG